GGUAAGGGCCACCAGGGUCUGAGAGGGACACCAGGGCCAGCGGAAAGCAGGACACCAGCCUGCAGAGGCUGCUCCUGAGUGGAAAGAGCUAAUUCCCUGGAUGAGGCGCUGCAGCGGUGAGUUGUCACAUUGCUACACUCUGCCACAAAGGGGAGAACAGGUGUGCCCUGAGGAGGGCAGGAAGACCAUUGAGGCUGUGAUAGCAGAUGACAGGCUUAUGUUAAUGGGUUAUUUUGGACAUUUUAAUCUGGAAGACUUGGAGGCUAAACCUCUUCCAGUCUCCCACCUAGAUGGAAGAAAAUUGCCACCCAUAGAGGAAACUGAGGCACAAGUGUACUUGGUGGUAAGACUGCCUUCCCACACGGGGAUAGUGUGUCGUAGACACAGACUGGAUUGAGCCAUAUCACAGCAUCUCACAUCCUUCAGGGGGUUGGUACAGCCUGCAGUGGGUUUAGCAGCACAGGUUCUCUCUUGCUUCACAAGCACAUGCAGCUCCCCUUUUCUCUUUCUGAUCACAUGAGCUAACCACGCCUGUAUAACAAAAGCUACAUUUGGUGACAGUUAAGGCUGCAUCAUGACCCACCCAAAACCUUAACAGUGUGGAAACAAAAAGUUGGCUUCAUUACUUGCCACCUUCACAUACGUUGCCUACGAUGCUGUGGAUAAAAUGCUCCAAACGGCUUUUCCUUCCACCUCCAAUAUAUACUGAAAAGCAACUGCACCUCAACUUGGGCUUUCACACAAAACCUCAAUGAUGAUCUCAUGUGUUCUUGUAUCAGCAGCUCAGCACAUCUGACUGUCACACACUCUCCAUGCACUUGGGAUGUUAUUCUACCUUUAUCAUUGCUAAAGUCCCUUUCAGAUGACCACUUCCUUUAAAGGUAUCAAGCCCCCUUCCUUGCAACUGGAGUGCAAAGGAGAGGGAAGGGAGGCUCCUCUAGAGUCUUGUUAGUCCUGGAGACCUGAAGAAAUCUGUCCAGCACUUUGGCUCCCUGCUCUUUGUAGGAGCCCAUUAAAGCUCCCAGCAAAGCACUGCCAAUACCACACAGCGCACCUUAAAAGGAAAGAAGAAACUCCAAAACUGCAUGUUGAAUCAAUGGAGUAAGAAGGUCCUCAGCUGGCUGGAGCUGGAAUUUUGUGGUCAGGGCUAAUCACUGACUUUGUCAGGAAGUCAAGACGAUGGGAAGGUACUGAACAAACAAGAUUAAUCUGGACAAUGGAAGGAAAGACUGCUAGAGCUAAACAUGACCAGCCUAGGAAAAAAAGGCACCAAGGCAAGAUUCUAUUAUGCUGUGUGUGUAAGUAUCUAUGGAAGGAUCUGCUCAACCAACUGUGGCCAUAAUCUGAAACUAAAGAAGGCAAGGCUUAUGGUAGAUGGUUUCCUAGUCAAGGCCUGAGUCUUCUCUACACUAGGAAAAUGACCUGCUGCUGAAAAUGGUUGUUAGCAAAGGAAAGUCUCAAUCACACGUUCUGUAAUGGAGCUGAAAAUAGUUUUAUUUUAUCUGCACUAGCAGUUAAACCAUCUUCAGCAAAGGGUCAAUUUCCACGGGAGACAUUACCAUAUGUGUCUGGUUCUGCUUGUUAAGAGAGCGGGUCCCUCUUGCAGCAAGACAGGGUAUAGACUAUAUGACCCUUCCCGUCACAAAAUUAUCUUGUUUCUCUGUCACCCUUGGUUCAGGGUACUUUUUCUAAUGAUGCCUACAAGCAGGGGCGGCUCUAGAAAAUCCGCCGCCCCAAGCAGGGCGGUGCGCCGCGCCACUCGCAUCGCCCUCCCCCGGUCCCGCGGCCGGGGCAGAAGUGCCUGCG